GACGGUUGGUGGGCUUCUCAUGUUCUCCACUUGGGAAAUGCAAAUGACCCACUUUUCCAGUGCUGAGACCAUGGUUCAGACCACAUGAAGAAUUCGGUCAAGAGCCAUUUGUUGGGCUGGGGCUGGGCUCAGUGGUACAGCGCUUGCCUAGCAUGCGUGAGGCCCUGGGUUCAAUCCUUAGCACCACAUAAAAAUAAAAUAAAGGUAUUGUGUCCACCUACAACUGAAAAAUACAUACUAAAAAGCCAUUUGUUAUUCACUUAUAUGUGAAUAGUUCCAUUGCACCUCUUAAGGACCCAUGCCCACCCUGGCUGUGGGAGCACCAAGAUGAUCCCACUCUCAGGACUCUCCCAGUCUACUUAACCUUGUAGGUGCAUUCACACACAUCAACUUCACUUUAGAGAAUGAGGUCAGCCCAUUGUCAGAGAACCUACCAUUCCCAGAAAUAACUAGAGGUUCACCAAUCCCUAGGUGCCCUGGGAACAAUUCAUUUCUUCAGCUGGCCUCUCUCAUUUUCUGGGUACAAUUUACAGGCAGUGAAAUGCACAGAUUUUAAGGAGAGGAGUCUUUCCAUCUUGAUGGAAACACAUAGAACAUUCCCACCACCCCAGAAAGUUCCUUCAUGCCCUUUCCCAGUAAAACCCGCUCCCAGGAAGCAAACCUCUGCUCUGAUUUCUCACAAGUGACUUCGCCUGUUCUAGAACUUGACAUAUGUGGAGUCGCGCAGAUGAAGGCUUUUGUGUCUGGUUUCUUUUGCUCAGCAUGAUUUUUUUUUAGAUCUGCUUAUGUUGUGUGUAUCGCUAAUCUGUUUAUUUUUAUUGCAGAGUUGUAUUCCACUGUAUAAAUAGACCAAGAGUUUUACCCAUUCUCCUGCUAAUGAAUAUUUUUGAGCUGUUUCCAGUUUUAGGCUAUUGUGAUUAAAGCUGGUAUGAAUAUUUUUGUAAAAGAUUUUUGUGGAUAUAUGUUUUCAUUUCUCUCAUAUAAAUACCAAGAAAUAGAAUUACUAAGUCAUAAGAUAGAUGCAUAUUUAACUCUUUACAAAACUGCCAAACCCUUUUCCAAAGUGGCC
rnacentral:lncRNA from 1 species